AUUGAACGCUGGCGGCAGGCCUAACACAUGCAAGUCGAACGGUAACAGGAAACAGCUUGCUGUUUCGCUGACGAGUGGCGGACGGGUGAGUAAUGUCUGGGAAACUGCCUGAUGUAGGGGGAUAACUACUGGAAACGGUAGCUAAUACCGCAUAACGUCGCAAGACCAAAGAGGGGGACCUUCGGGCCUCUUGCCAUCGGAUGUGCCCAGAUGGGAUUAGCUAGUAGGUGGGGUAACGGCUCACCUAGGCGACGAUCCCUAGCUGGUCUGAGAGGAUGACCAGCCACACUGGAACUGAGACACGGUCCAGACUCCUACGGGAGGCAGCAGUGGGGAAUAUUGGACAAUGGGCGCAAGCCUGAUGCAGCCAUGCCGCGUGUAUGAAGAAGGCCUUCGGGUUGUAAAGUACGUUCAGCGGGGAGGAAGGGAGUAAAGUUAAUACCUUGACUCAUUGACGUUACCCGCAGAAGAAGCACCGGCUAACUCCGUG
rnacentral:rRNA from 1 species